rnacentral:lncRNA from 1 species
UCCAUUAACAAAAGAAUAGGCUCACUUUUAUAACAAAAUACUAUGCAGCUAUGAACUAUGUAUACUACAUAUUUAUAAACACUAAGUGGAAAUUAUGUUCCUUCUUAUAUUGUUUAGUUAGAGGAGUGAGUAUUGACAGAAAAAUGCUUCCCUCUUUGAUCCCCCAGGUUGACAGUUCUGAGAUGCAUUGCACAAGGCCCCCCAGGAGGUCCCAGCAAAAUCUAGCACCAGUUACUCACGGCACUGUCCAGCUCAGUAAUGAACCUUUCUAUUAGCCGCCCCUCUUUCCCUGCUUCCCCCACUCCCCGCCCUGAUCCCUGCCCCUACGCCCUGCAGUCACCUCCCCAAGUCAGUGCAUACAAGCUUUUGUCUCAGAAACACCCACCUCCUGCCUUUCAGAACCGCCUUC